AUUGAACGCUGGCGGCAGGCCUAUCACAUGCAAGUCGAGCGGGGUUUUCGGACCUAGCGGCGGACGGGUGAGUAAUGCGUAGGAAGCUACCCGAUAGAGGGGGAUACCAGUUGGAAACGACUGUUAAUACCGCAUAAUGUCUACGGACCAAAGUGUGAGACCUUCGGGCCACAUGCUAUCGGAUGCGCCUACGUGGGAUUAGCUAGUUGGUGGGGUAAUGGCUCACCAAGGCGACGAUCCCUAGCUGGUUCGAGAGGAUGAUCCGCCACACUGGGACUGAGACACGGCCCAGACUCCUACGGGAGGCAGCAGUGGGGAAUUUUGGACAAUGGGCGAAAGCCUGAUCCAGCCGUGCCGCGUGUCUGAAGAAGGCCUUCGGGUUGUAAAGGACUUUUGUCGGGGAGGAAAUCCCCAGCGUUAAUACCGCUGGGGGAUGACAGUACCUGAAGAAUAAGCACCGGCUAACUACGUGCCAGCCGCCGCGGUAAAAC
rnacentral:rRNA from 1 species